CCUCUGUACUCAGCACUGGUGAGGCCGCACCUCAAGUACUGUGUCCAGUUUUGGGCCCCUCACUGUAAGAAAGACAUCGAGGCCCUGGAGUGUGUCCAGAGAAGGGCAACAAAGCUGGUGAGGGGUCUGGAGCACAGGCCUUAUGAGGAGCAGCUGAAGGAGCUGGGAUUGUUCAGUCUAGAGAAGAGGAGGCUCAGGGGAGACCUUAUAGCUCUCUAUAACUACCUGAAGGGAGGUUGUAGUGAGCUGGGGGUCAGCCUCUUCUCUCGGGUGACUGGUGAUAGGACUAGAGGGAAUGGCUUCAAGCUGCACCAGGGAAGGUUCAGGCUGGAUGUUAGGAAAUACUACUUCUCUGAAAGGAUGG
ensembl:lncRNA